GGUUGGUACGCAGUAGCCCGCAGUUCGCUGAGUGUGCGUGUUGGUUGUUGUCGCCGGUUUGUCCGAUCCGCCGCCAUGUUUCUGUGAAUUAGUUUUUCGGGUUCGCGCAUGAAAUAUAACGUUUAUCAUCCGAGUUAUCGCAUUGGACUUAUUUUAUUCAGUGAACCAUUACAUCCUAUCCAUCAUGAAGGGCAUGCAACAGCUACAAACUACAUUGGACAUCAAUUAACAUCAGUCGUCAAUCCUCCAUUACAGCACUCGUGCCUGGCAGUCCGAUAAACUAUACACUGGGGAGUUUAUAAUUCAAUUAUAUUUUUAGGUUAAAGUAGUUUGUACGCCUUAGUACUCGUUGGGCUAGGAAUUGUAGUUUUUUUGUUAUAACACACGAACGCGGUGUCACAAUAAAUUCGAAAUCAUUCUACCCGAUGCGGAAUUUAAUUCUGUAUCACACUGUAUCAAAAUUUAUUGCGAGAAAAUUCCGUAACGCGAGUUAUAUUGAAAUUUGUGUGUAUGCGCUUUUGUACUCGUUUCGCUAGAAAUUGUAGUUUUUUUGUUAUUACACACGAACGCGGUGUCACAAUAAAUUCGGAAUCAUUUUCCCUGAUGCGGAAUUUAAUUCUUUAUCACCCUGUAUUAAAAUUUAUUGCAAGAAAAUUCCGUAACGCGAGUUAUAUUGAAAUUUGUGUGUAUGCGCUUUUGUACUCGUUUCGCUAGGAAUUGUAGUUUUUUUGUUAUUACACACGAACGCGGUGUCACAAUAAAUUCGAAAUCAUUUUCCCUGAUGCGGAAUUUAAUUCUUUAUCACCCUGUAUUAAAAUUUAUUGUCAGAAAAUUCCGUAGCGCGAGUUAUAUUGAAAUGUGUGUGUAUGCGCUUUUGUACUCGUUUCGCUAGGAAUUGUAGUUUUUUUGUUAUUACACACGAACGCGGUGUCACAAUAAUUUCGAAAUCAUUUUCCCUGAUGCGGAAUUUAAUUCUUUAUCACCCUGUAUUAAAAUUUAUUGUCAGAAAAUUCCGUAACGCGAGUUAUAUUGAAAUUUGUGUGUAUGCGCGGUUGUACUCGUUUCGCUAGGAAUUGUAGUUUUUUUGUUAUUACACACGAACGCGGUGUCACAAUAAAUUCGAAAUCAUUUUCCCUGAUGCGGAAUUUAAUUCUGUAGCACCCUGUAUUAAAAUUUAUUGCGAGAAAAUUCCGUAACUCGAAUAUAAUAUUGAAAGUUGUGUGUGUGUGUGCCAUAGUACUCGCUGCGUUAAAACAGCGGUCAAACGGUAAGUUCGAAAGAAUUUUCUCGGAUGCAGAAAUUCAUUCGAUAUCUCUCUGUUGAUGACAAUUCUAAAUAUGAUUGAAUGAAUUUACAAAAUUUUGAAGCUGUUAUUGAUAUCAUUUUUGUUUAUUUUGUUAAAAGGUAUUAAAUGAGCAUUAUAUAAUCGCAUAUCAUUAUCCUGUUUUCUUGUUUGUAUGUAGCUUUUAAUGUUGCUAAUAAAACAUAAUGUAAUAUUA